UACAGAGGUCCCAAGCGUUGUUCGGAUUCACUGGGCGUAAAGGGUGCGUAGGUGGCGAGGUAAGUCUGAUGUGAAAUCUCCGAGCUUAACUCGGAAAUGGCAUUGGAAACUACUUUGCUUGAGGGUUGGAGGGGGGACUGGAAUACUUGGUGUAGCAGUGAAAUGCGUAGAUAUCAAGUGGAACACCCGUGGCGAAGGCGAGUCCCUGGACAACUCCUGACACUGAGGCACGAAAGCUAGGGGAGCAAACAGG
rnacentral:rRNA from 1 species